AUUGAACGCUGGCGGCAGGCCUAACACAUGCAAGUCGAACGGUAACAGGAAGCAGCUUGCUGCUUCGCUGACGAGUGGCGGACGGGUGAGUAAUGUCUGGGAAGCUGCCUGAUGGAGGGGGAUAACUGCUGGAAACGGUAGCUAAUACCGCAUAAUGUCGCAAGACCAAAGAGGGGGACCUUCGGGCCUCUUGCCAUCGGAUGUGCCCAGAUGGGAUUAGCUUGUUGGUGGGGUAACGGCUCACCAAGGCGACGAUCCCUAGCUGGUCUGAGAGGAUGACCAGCCACACUGGGACUGAGACACGGUCCAGACUCCUACGGGAGGCAGCAGUGGGGAAUAUUGCACAAUGGGCGCAAGCCUGAUGCAGCCAUGCCGCGUGUAUGAAGAAGGCCUUCGGGUUGUAAAGUACUUUCAGCGGGGAGGAAGGGAGUAAAGUUAAUACCUUUGCUCAUUGACGUUACCCGCAGAAGAAGCACCGGCUAACUCCGUG
rnacentral:rRNA from 1 species